GGGGGGGGAUUUCGAGCGGCGGCGUCGGGAGCAAGCGCGCACGCAGGGUGUUUUUGGGAAGGUUCGAGAGCGUUCCGGUUGGCGUCGUCGGUGAUUUCGGGCGCGGAUCGCUCGAUUUGGUCUGGAUUUCGUGGCGAUCGGCGCUGGAUUUUUUUUUUUUUGGGGGGGGGGGAGGGGGGGCUGAGCUGCGGAGGCAUCGGAAUGGCGGCGGCAGCGCUGCCUCGCCUCCUCCUCGCCGCGGUGGUGCUGUGCGCCGCGUUCGCCUCCGUACCAGGGUUCACCAACCCCUCCGAUGCUUUCUGGGUGGACAUUUGAGGGCGGUGACCCCUGUGGUGGCCGCGGUGAACAACGGCCAUGGCAUGGAGUCCUUUGAAGGGAUUCAUCAUUCAUCCAUUGUCGCUUUGUAAUUCUUCAGCUAUUCGACUGUGUUGCAAUGCCGGACGGAACGCGCGACGGCGGCGUAGCCCGGACGACGAGGAGGAGGACGGCGACACCAGCGAGGAAGAAGAGAUGGACCAGAUCGAGAUGGCGCAGCUCGAGGGGAACAUCAGGCGGCCCGCACGAGGGGGACGGGGAGGCCGGCGAGAUCGCGCAGCCCCGAGCCCGCGCGCCGCCUGGGGGAAUCUCGCGCCACCCUGGGAGCCGCCGUCGCCGGCCGCGCGCACCCUACGAGAGCAUAGAUCGAGAGGAAGGAAGGAGAAACAGAGAAAGAGAAAGGGGAGAGAGAGAAGGUGACGUGUACACCUGAUAUGUGGGCCCCACGUAGGUCCCACGCUGACUUAGCCGCCACGUCGGACAAAACCGAGAUUAAAACCACCGAAGGACCUCUUGUAACCGGUUUUGAUUAGUUAAGAGACGCCGGAUAUCUGAUUUUGCGGAUUGAGGAUGUUUUUGUAACUUGAUGACAAGUUGAGAGACCUUCGGUGUACUUUUUUCCCUUUAAACCUCCCUGUUAUAAAGGCGGUCAUGUAAAUUCAUUGGCAUAAAAAAAACCUAGAAUUGUAAAUCUAGGACAGUGAAACUAUAAAUAGACUAUACGGGAUAUGUAAUAGGGAUCCAAUAUUACUUAAUUAACUAAUAUACUUUAUAAUCCUAUUUUUCAUAAAA